rnacentral:rRNA from 1 species
UACGAAUGGGGCAAGCGUUGUUCGGAAUCACUGGGCUUAAAGCGUGCGUAGGCGGAUCUGCAAGUCAGAAGUGAAAUCCCCGGGCUUAACCCGGGAACUGCUUUUGAAACUGCAAAUCUGGAAUCCGGGAUGGGUUAGGAGAAUUCCUAGUGUAGAGGUGAAAUUCGCAGAUAUUAGGAGGAAUACCAGUGGCGUAGGCGCCUAACUGGACCGGUAUUGACGCUGAGGUACGAAAGCGUGGGUAGCAAACAGG